GACGAACGCUGGCGGCGUGCCUAAUACAUGCAAGUCGAACGCAGUGGGGACGGGUGAGUAACACGUGGGUAACCUCCCAUCAGAGGGGAGAACACUUGGAAACAGGUGCUAAACCGAUAUUGAUUGAUGGACCCGGGGGGGAUUAGCUAGUUGGUGGGGUAACGGCUCACCAAGGCCACGAUGCAUAGCCGGCCUGAGAGGGUGACCGGCCACACUGGGACUGAGACACGGCCCAGACUCCUACGGGAGGCAGCAGUAGGGAAUCUUCGGCAAUGGACGAAAGUCUGACGCAGCAAUGCCGCGUGAGUGAAGAAGGUUUUCGGAUCGUAAAACUCUGUUGUUAGAGAAGCGGUAUCUAAACAGAAAGCCACGGCUAACUACGUGCCAGCAGCCGCGGUAAUAC
rnacentral:rRNA from 1 species